ACCUGUCUACCUACUGAAGUGAUCUAUCUACUGAAUAGGCGGGGGAACUACUUACUCUUCCCCCAACCAACUUAUUUUCCCACUAUACUGUGUGAGACACCAAGGGGCUAUUACUGUUUGGAUUGCUAUAGGUGUUGAAAAAGUGCAGAAACUAAAAUGUUUGUCUGGCAGGAUCUGUAGAGAGCUGUGGCUGGAAGAAAUCGUCAUGAUGGUCUGGGUCGGAUGGAGAAGAAAAGAGAAAGUGAAUAACUCCGAUCAGAGAAGACAUCACCUGAUCUCGAUGAUUGAUACAAGGCCGGAAGAAGCGCAAUCAGCGGGAAACCAGCCGGCAAUCGCCUCUGAGCACCCUGCAGUGUGUCUGACACCGGAGACGUCCGUGGAAGCCGAUGUAGCUGAGUCAUCUUGCUGAAGCCUAGUGGAGCUGUCAGUCCAUGAUGGAGAAUUAUGAAUAAUCCUGUGUGAUAGAGCAACCGGAACCUUCACAUCCACUCUCAGGCCAAAACUGACGGAUUUAUGACCACCGCUCCCAUCGUCCGAGGAAACAUUUCAUCGCAGAUACAUUAUUCAUCAGAGAGAUCCAGGGAAAAUCUCAUCAUAGAAGUAAACUUUAUAAAAUACAACAUGUGGCCUCCAUUCCCAUUUCACCCA